UUUAGUUUGUUAUUAUCAUGGAUACGGAAAGUGUUGUUUGUGAUAUUCACAUCAAAAGAUAUAGUUUAUUUAUAUUGAAGUUUCUUUUAUAAUGUUUCCAUUUUGUUAUAAUUAUGUUGAAUUUUUAUAGAUGUUUUUAAUCGUUUGAUGUAAUCUAAGAAAGUGUUGAUUUAUUUCAUUUAUAAACACGCGUAUAGUGUACGUGCAUAUAUUGAAAAAAUAUAUCUUUUGUAAAAAAUUGUAAUUUCAAUGAAAAAAAACAAGAUUACACCAGAGUGAUUUUGACAAAAAUGUGAAUAAUCGUGAAUUAUGAAAAUAAAAUGUACUACUUCCGUUAUUCAUCGUGUUUUGUAGAAAAACAAGAUUUCCUCGGAGAGCGACAUUGUCCGGAAGAUCAAUGAUAUAAUGCUUCCAAAGGAUCCGUUCUACAAGCCGCCGCCACAGACACCGGAAGUAGAUUCUACGUCAUAAAAGAAUCCGAAAAAAACUCAACUGUGCUGACUGUAAAUUAUGAAUUCAAAAAUAGUUGUAAUAUUUUAUGAGUAUGAAUGUGGAGAGUUAUAAAUAUGUAUUUUGAGGGUCUUUUAAAUAUAUUUUUAUUUUGUAAAUUGAUUUUCUGUUCCCUUCCUUAAUAAGCUGACUCAAAAUUAUGAAAGAAAAGAUAUUUGUUAUAGGUCAAUAUUUUGGGCGUGAAUGUUGUGUGUUGAGUCAAUAUUUUUACUUCAUGAAUCGUAUGAAUGAUUGUAAUUUGUUUAUACGGGAGAGCAUUGUUGUGAGUGGAGUACGGAUUUAUUUGUCGAGAUGCGUAUCGACUGUCCAUUCAGAAAUUUAAAGCGUGUGAUACCGAUAUACGUCUUCUGUACACGUGUUCUUAAUUGUACAUACAGAUUUAUUUCAUGGAGAUUCAAAAAGUACUGAUUUAUUUUUUGCCGGGAGAAGUCUCCCAGAAUCAACCGUCCAUUCAAAACUCAGCCUGUGAUACUGAUGUUAUGUACACGUGUUCUUUAUUGUAUGUUAUAAAUAUACAAACAUAUUUAUUAA
rnacentral:misc_RNA from 1 species